GUGACCUCAAAUCAGGUAGGACUACCCGCUGAACUUAAGCAUAUCAAUAAGCGGAGGAAAAGAAACUAACAAGGAUUCCCCUAGUAACUGCGAGUGAAGCGGGAAAAGCUCAAAUUUAAAAUCUGGCGGUCUUUUGGCUGUCCGAGUUGUAAUCUAGAGAAGUGUUAUCCGCGCUGGACNN
rnacentral:rRNA from 1 species